rnacentral:tRNA from 1 species
CAGACGUGAAUAUAGUUUACCAAAACAUUAAGCUGUGGACUUAAAAACAAAGAGCCUUCCUUCUCUUUUAUUCACC